UACGUAGGGUGCAAGCGUUGUCCGGAAUUAUUGGGCGUAAAGAACGUCGUAUGAGCGGUCUGUCGCGUCGGCUGUGAAAACUCGGGGCUCAACUCCGAGCUUGCAGUCGAUACGGGCAGGCUAGAGUUCGGCAGGGGAGACUGGAAUUCCUGGUGUAGCGGUGAAAUGCGCAGAUAUCAGGAGGAACACCGGUGGCGAAGGCGGGUCUCUGGGCCGAUACUGACGCUGAGGAGCGAAAGCGUGGGGAGCGAACAGG
rnacentral:rRNA from 1 species